CAACAGCUCCAGACUAUGACUGGCUUUUCCUGUGUGACUCACAUAAGAUCAGAGGGUGGUCUCGCAGCGUGGCCAGCACCAUGACGGCCUCAGUCAGCUCCAGAUCCUCAGCUCCACCUCUGCAGUGGGUGGUGCCUCUAUACACCUGGAACCAUAAUCAAGCCGGAGAGUAUAAAGCUGAGGAGCUUCUCAUCAGUCCCCCUAUGCCUCCUGCUCUGGUCGCUGUGCUGUUGUAGGCUGCCUUGCUAAAUCCACUGCGUGUGUGUAUGUACUUGUUGAGCUGUUUGCCUGCUCGUACUAGGGAACUCAAGACAGUUUUCUCCUGUUUAAGUGCUGCCAGGGAGGUUCAGUUUUUGUACCUUUUUUUUUUUUGUUAGACAGAAGUAUGUUUGGUUCUAGUUAGGGAUGAGUUUUGUUUGUUGUUUU